rnacentral:rRNA from 1 species
UACGAAGGGGCCAAGCGUUGUCCGGAUUUAUUGGGCGUAAAGAGCUCGUAGGCGGUCCGGUAAGUCAGCUGUGAAAUCUCCACGCUCAACGUGGAGGGGUCAGCUGAUACUGCCGUGACUUGAGUCUGGUAGGGGAGUGCGGAAUUCCUGGUGUAGCGGUGAAAUGCGCAGAUAUCAGGAGGAACACCGGUGGCGAAGGCGGGUCUCUGGGCCGAUAUUGACGCUGAGGAGCGAAAGCGUGGGGAGCGAACAGG